rnacentral:rRNA from 1 species
GUCUGUGUGAUUGUCACUACAAAGUCUGACCUGCCCACUGAAUCUGUUUGAAGGGCUGCGGUAAUUUGACCGUGCGAAGGUAGCAUAAUCAAUAGUCUCUUAAUUGGGGGCCGGAAUGAAGGGUUGGACAAGGAGUUGGCUGUCUCUUUUAUGAAAACUGAAUUUUACUUUUAGGUGAAAAGGCCUAAAUGCGUUUGGGGGACGAUAAGACCCUGUAAAACUUUACAGUUCAGGUUGUGUUCUUCAAAUUAUAGUUUAAAGCUGACCACGAUCGAGCUGUUGUGUUGGGGUGACAUGGAUAUAAUAAGUAACUGUCGAAUUAAUUAGAUAAAUAUAGUUAGGGUGAUUGGUCCUUUAUUAGAGAUUAAAAGAUCAAGUUACUUCAGGGAUAACAGCGUAAUUUUCCUUGAGAGUUCUUAUCGACGGGAAUAGUUGCGACCUCGAUGUUGAAUUAAGAUUUCCUCCGGGUGUAGGAGCUCGGGCGGUAGGUCUGUUCGACCUUUAAAAUCUUACAUGAUUUGAGUUCAAACCGGUGUGAG